GCGCGGCUCGGGCUACUUAAGCGCGCUACGCUCCGCGAGGGUACCUGGCCUGCGUGGGCGGGUACAUCGUGAAGCGUGUGUCAACGGAAUGAAAAUAUUCCGUUUCUUCUCCUUCCUUCUUUUUCUGUUACUCUUGUAAUUGACACGGACGCUCUUUUUCCCUUAGAACUUUCUAUGGAACAACGAAGGGCGUUCGAGGCCAGAUACAUUCCGUGAAGGUGAAUCACUGUUGCAGCCCGCUACGCGGAGGCUAAUAUAAUUGGGAGUAGAUUACGAGGCAGGAAAGUUUUUCAGGACGACUAUAAUUCGACGCGCCUACGUCGAUGCGUUUGAAUUCACGACGAUCCAAGUUUGGCAGCAGAUUGUUGCCACUACUUGAUACCAAUUUUGGAAAGUCUAGACGAACUUAUCGAUUUGAUGGAUUUUUCUUUUGCAUGCACUUUUCUUCAACGUUAAAAUUGUUAUUCUUAUAUACUUUAUAGAUUAUCGUACUUUAGAAGGGAACUGAUAAUUUCUUGUAUAAAAGUAUAAAUAGAACAAUGAAAUGUUUAAUCUACAAUUAACAAAAGGAAAUCCUUAAUGGAGAAGUAAAUAUUUGUUCAAUCCUUUAUUCGUAAAUUGUUCCAAGAAAGUAUCACUACACGAGAAGUUUCAGAUUGUGCUAAUAACGAAUGAUACUGUAGUUAAAAAGGACGACAAUUCGAAGUACUGGCAAUGUCUACACUCGUACUCGGCAGGAUCGCAGUAGAUUACCCCAUCCAGUGAUCAGACCGAAGUAGACGCACGAAAAUCAGGCCAAGUGACUCUAGUCCCCCCACAUCAUCGGUAUUAAUUUAUUUCCGAGCCGGAGAGGAAAAAAAUUGUACUGCUUCAAAAUAUAAUACUAUUGAUUAGAUAGAUUGGCUAACAAGUAGUCAGACCAAGCCCACUCGCUGCCCACAUUAUCGACGUAGCUUCAAUUUACAGGCAACACCGGGCGAAACUUUGCGUCCCCUCGAAAUUGCUAUUGUGACAACUAUUCGCGGAACACAGGGUAAUUGUAGGUUAAUAAGUAUCGGAUUCCGAUGUAGGUGGCCGACCCACGAAAUAAUACACUCGCACGACUGAUUCAAAUACCGAAUUAUCUCGCAGAAAACUCGAAGGACGUUCGUUGUAAAGCAAUUUUCAUUUCAUCCAGCGGAUUUACUUGAAGUGUUUCAAAGGGUACUUCCCAUUUGACAUACUGAUCUAGUAUAUUAAGUCACAGGAAAAUUUGUAUAUCAA